UCCCUCUCUACGUUGGUCUUGCUGCGGCUUC
rnacentral:piRNA from 1 species